rnacentral:rRNA from 1 species
UCAUAUGCUUAUCUCAAAGAUUAAGCCAUGCAUGUCUAAGUACACAGUUUUGUACACUGAAACCGCGGAUGGCUCAUUAUAACAGCUAUGAUUUGAGAGAUAUAAUCUAUUUGCCAUAAGAUAACUGUGGUAAUUCUAGAGCUAAUAUUUUAAAGAAUGCCGUGACUAACGAAGCGGUGGAUUUAUUAGAUCAAAACUAACCUGUCGCAAGACAGAAAUUUGAUGACUCUGGAUAACUUAACUGAUCGUACAACUUUUGUUGACGACGAAUCUCUUGAAAUGGCUGACCUAUCAACUUUCGAUGGUAAGAUCAAAGCUUACCAUGGUUGUAACGGGUAACGGGGAAUCAGUGUUCGAUUCCGGAGAGGGAGCCUGAGAAACGGCUACCACAUCCACGGAAGGCAGCAGGCGCGAAAAUUACCCAAUACCGGUUCGGUGAGGUAGUGACAAUAAAUAACAAUAUGGGCCCUAGUGGUUUCAUAAUUGCAAUGAGAAUAUUUUAAAUACUUUAUCAAGUAUCAAUUGGAGGGCAAGUCUGGUGCCASCAGCCGCGGUAAUUCCAGCUCCAAAAGCGUAUAUUAAAUUUGUUGCAGUUAAAAAGCUCGUAGUUGAAAUUGAGGAACUAUUCAUUAAGCGGUCUUUGAUUGCAUUUUGGAUUUUCCUUUCCGUCGUGUAUAUUGAUUAAUCACUUAAUUGGGAUUUUUUAAUAACCGACAAGUUUACUUUGAAAAAAUUAGAGUGCUUAAAGCAGGCUUUUGCUUGUAUAUUGUUGCAUGGAAUAAUGAAAUAAGACUUUGGUUUUAUUUUGUUGGUUUUCGAAACUAAAGUAAUGAUUAAAAGAGACUGCCGGGGGCAUAUGUAUGCUGGUGCUAGAGGUGAAAUUCUGAGACCAUCAUCAGACAAUCUACU